UACGUAGGGGGCAAGCGUUGUCCGGAUUUAUUGGGCGUAAAGAGCGUGUAGGCGGUUCGGUAGGUCCGUUGUGAAAACUCGAGGCUCAACCUCGAGACGCCGAUGGAAACCCCCGAACUAGAGUCCGGAAGAGGAGAAUGGAAUUCCUGGUGUAGCGGUGAAAUGCGUAGAUAUCUGGAGGAACACCGGUGGCGAAGGCGGCAUCCUGGACCAACACUGACGCUGAGGAGCGAAAGCCAGGGGAGCAAACGGG
rnacentral:rRNA from 1 species